AUGAACGCUGGCGGCGUGCCUCAUACAUGCAAGUCGAGCGAACAGAUGAGGAGCUUGCUCCUCUGACGUUAGCGGCGGACGGGUGAGUAACACGUGGAUAACCUACCUAUAAGACUGGGAUAACUUCGGGAAACCGGAGCUAAUACCGGAUAAUAUAUUGAACCGCAUGGUUCAAUAGUGAGAGACGGUUUUGCUGUCACUUAUAGAUGGAUCCGCGCCGCAUUAGCUAGUUGGUAAGGUAACGGCUUACCAAGGCAACGAUGCGUAGCCGACCUGAGAGGGUGAUCGGCCACACUGGAACUGAGACACGGUCCAGACUCCUACGGGAGGCAGCAGUAGGGAAUCUUCCGCAAUGGGCGAAAGCCUGACGGAGCAACGCCGCGUGAGUGAUGAAGGUCUUCGGAUCGUAAAACUCUGUUAUUAGGGAAGAACAAAUGUGUAAGUAACUAUGCACGUCUUGACGGUACCUAAUCAGAAAGCCACGGCUAACUACGUG
rnacentral:rRNA from 1 species